rnacentral:rRNA from 1 species
GACGAACGCUGGCGGCGUGCCUAACACAUGCAAGUCGAGCGAAUGAAGUUCCUUCGGGAAUGGAUUUAGCGGCGGACGGGUGAGUAACACGUGGGCAACCUGCCUCAUAGAGGGGAAUAGCCUCCCGAAAGGGAGAUUAAUACCGCAUAAGAUUGUAGUACCGCAUGAUACAGCAAUUAAAGGAGCAAUCCGCUAUGAGAUGGGCCCGCGGCGCAUAAGCUCGUUGGUGAGGUAAUGGCUCACCAAGGCGACGAUGCGUAGCCGACCUGUGAGGGUGAUCGGCCACAUUGGGACUGAGACACGGCCCAGACUCCUACGGGAGGCAGCAGUGGGGAAUAUUGCACAAUGGGGGAAACCCUGAUGCAGCAACGCCGCGUGAGUGAUGACGGCCUUCAGGUUGUAAAGCUCUGGCUUCAGGGACGAUAAUGACGGUACCUGAGGAGGAAGCCACGGCUAACUACGUG